CCUUCUCAUCGAACGCUGCCAAUAUGGUGUUAACGUGCUUCAUGGAAGUUGGCCGGGUGGCCUACGUCUCCUUUGGUCCUCAUGCCGGGAAGCUGGUCGCGAUUGUAGAUGUUAUUGACCAGAACAGGGCUUUGGUUGAUGGACCUUGCACUCAAGUAAGGAGACAGGCUAUGCCUUUCAAAUGCAUGCAGCUCACUGACUUCAUCCUCAAGUUCCCACAUAGUGCCCACCAGAAAUACAUCCGAAAAGCCUGGGAGAAGGCAGAUAUCAAUACCAAAUGGGCAGCCACAAGAUGGGCCAAGAAGAUUGAAGCCAGAGAAAAUAAAGCCAAGAUGAAAUAUUUUGAUCGUUACAAAGUUAUGAAGGCAAAGAAAAUGAGGAACCGAAUAAUCAAGCUUGAAGUUACGAAGCUUCAAAAGGCAGCGCUCCUGAAAGCAUCUCCCAAAAAAGCACCUGCUGCAACUGCAGCUGCAGCAUCUACUGCAAAGGUUCCAGCAAAAAAGAUGGCUGCUGCAGGCACCAAGGCUCCAGCCCAGAAGGUUCCCACCCAGAAAGCUGCAGGCCAGAAGGCAGCACCUCCAAAAGCUCAGAAGGGUCCGAAAGCUCCAGCCCAGAAAGCACCUGCUCCAAAGGCAUCUGGCAAGAAAGCAUAAGAACGUAAAAGGCUAUUACAAAAAUAAUAAAGGUUCUUUUUGACAAAUUA